AGAGUUUUGAUCAUGGCUCAGGAUGAACGCUGGCGGUAUGCCUUACACAUGCAAGUCGUACGAGAGUUUUUAACUCAAGUGGCGGACGGGUGAGUAACACGUAAGAAUUUGCCUUUAGAGGGGGAUAACAACUGGAAACGGUUGCUAAUACCCCAUAUGCUUUCGAGUGAAAUGGAUUUUCCGCCUAAAGAGAAGCUUGCGGCUGAUUAGCUUGUUGGUGAGGUAAGAGCUCACCAAGGCGACGAUCAGUAUCUGGUUUGAGAGGACGAUCAGACACACUGGAACUGAGACACGGUCCAGACUCCUACGGGAGGCAGCAGUGGGGAAUUUUCCGCAAUGGGCGAAAGCCUGACGGAGCAAUACCGCGUGAGGGAUGACUGCCUAUGGGUUGUAAACCUCUUUUUAUCAGGGAGGAACAAAAUGACGUGUACCUGAAGAAUACGCAUCGGCUAACUCCGUGCCAGACAGCCGCGGUAAGACGGAGGAUGCAAGUGUUAUCCGGAAUCACUGGGCGUAAAAGCGUCUGUAGGUGGUCAAAUAAGUCAAGCUGUUAAAUCU
rnacentral:rRNA from 1 species